rnacentral:rRNA from 1 species
GACGAACGCUGGCGGCGUGCUUAACACAUGCAAGUCGAACGGAAAGGCCCUGCUUUUGUGGGGUGCUCGAGUGGCGAACGGGUGAGUAACACGUGAGUAACCUGCCCUUGACUUUGGGAUAACUUCAGGAAACUGGGGCUAAUACCGGAUAGGAUCUCCUGCUGCAUGGUGGGGGUUGGAAUGUUUCGGCGGUUGGGGAUGGACUCGCGGCUUAUCAGCUUGUUGGUGGGGUAGUGGCUUACCAAGGCUUUGACGGGUAGCCGGCCUGAGAGGGUGACCGGCCACAUUGGGACUGAGAUACGGCCCAGACUCCUACGGGAGGCAGAAGUGGGGAAUAUUGCACAAUGGGCGGAAGCCUGAUGCAGCAACGCCGCGUGCGGGAUGAAGGCCUUCGGGUUGUAAACCGCUUUCGCCUGUGACGAAGCGUGAGUGACGGUAAUGGGUAAAGAAGCACCGGCUAACUACGUG